UACGUAGGGGGCAAGCGUUGUCCGGAAUCAUUGGGCGUAAAGAGCGUGUAGGCGGCCAGAUAAGUCCGCUGUGAAAUCUCGAGGCUCAACUUCGAGCUGUCGGUGGAAACUGUCUGGCUAGAGUCCGGAAGAGGAGAAUGGAAUUCCUGGUGUAGCGGUGAAAUGCGCAGAUAUCGGGAGGAACACCAGUGGCGAAGGCGGUUGCCUGGGGCUUUGCUGACGCUGAUGCGCGAAAGCGUGGGGAGCGAGUCGG
rnacentral:rRNA from 1 species